rnacentral:rRNA from 1 species
UGAACGCUGGCGGCGUGCUUAACACAUGCAAGUCGAACGGAGCUGUUUGUGAAGCGGAAGAGCUUGCUCGGAAGUGGAAUAGGACAGCUUAGUGGCGGACGGGUGAGUAACGCGUGGGUAACCUACCUCAUACGGGGGGAUAGCAGUUGGAAACGACUGAUAAAACCGCAUAAAACGGCAGCAGGGCAUCCUGCAACCGUCAAAUAUUUAUAGGUAUGAGAUGGGCCCGCGUCUGAUUAGGCAGUUGGCGAGGCAAUGGCUCACCAAACCUACGAUCAGUAGCCGGCCUGAGAGGGUGAACGGCCACAUUGGGACUGAGACACGGCCCAAACUCCUACGGGAGGCAGCAGUGGGGAAUAUUGGACAAUGGGGGGAACCCUGAUCCAGCGAACCGCCGCGUGAGUGAAGAAGUAUUUCGGUAUGUAAAGCUCUAUCAGCAGGGAAGAUGAUGACGGUACCUGACUAAGAAGCCCCGGCUAACUACGUGCCAGCAGCUGC